GAACGAUGAACCACUUCGGUGGGGAUUAGUGGCGAACGGGUGAGUAACACGUGGGCAAUCUGCCCUUCACUCUGGGACAAGCCCUGGAAACGGGGUCUAAUACCGGAUAAUACUUCCACUCGCAUGGGUGGGGGUUAAAAGCUCCGGCGGUGAAGGAUGAGCCCGCGGCCUAUCAGCUUGUUGGUGAGGUAAUGGCUCACCAASKCGCWMGWCRGGUAUGUCACRGSCWGACGGUAGSGCUGACMGGCSACGWCWRKGACUGAGAMACGGCCCAGACUCCUACGGGARGCAGCAGUGGGGAAUAUUGCACAAUGGGCGAAAGCCUGAUGCAGCGACGCCGCGUGAGGGAUGACGGCCUUCGGGUUGUAAACCUCUUUCAGCAGGGAAGAAGCGAAAGUGACGGUACCUGCAGRAGAAGCGCCGGCUAACUACGUGCCAGCAGCCGCGGUAAUACGUAGGGCGCAAGCGUUGUCCGGAAUUAUUGGGCGUAAAGAGCUCGUAGGCGGUCUGUCGCGUCGGAUGUGAAAGCCCGGGGCUUAACCCCGGGUCUGCAUUCGAUACGGGCAGACUAGAGUGUGGUAGGGGAGAUCGGAAUUCCUGGUGUAGCGGUGAAAUGCGCAGAUAUCAGGAGGAACACCGGUGGCGAAGGCGGAUCUCUGGGCCAUUACUGACGCUGAGGAGCGAAAGCGUGGGGAGCGAACAGGAUUAGAUACCCUGGUAGUCCACGCCGUAAACGGUGGGAACUAGGUGUUGGCGACAUUCCACGUCGUCGGUGCCGCAGCUAACGCAUUAAGUUCCCCGCCUGGGGGAGUACGGCCGCAAGGCUAAAACUCAAAGGAAUUGACGGGGGCCCGCACAAGCAGCGGAGCAUGUGGCUUAAUUCGACGCAACGCGAAGAACCUUACCAAGGCUUGACAUACACCGGAAAGCAUUAGAGAUAGUGCCCCCCUUGUGGUCGGUGUACAGGUGGUGCAUGGCUGUCGUCAGCUCGUGUCGUGAGAUGUUGGGUUAAGUCCCGCAACGAGCGCAACCCUUGUUCUGUGUUGCCAGCAUGCCCUUCGGGGUGAUGGGGACUCACAGGAGACUGCCGGGGUCAACUCGGAGGAAGGUGGGGACGACGUCAAGUCAUCAUGCCCCUUAUGUCUUGGGCUGCACACGUGCUACAAUGGYCGKUACAAAGAGCUGCGAAMCSGUGAGGUGGAGCGAAUCUCAAAAAGSCGSUCUCAGKUCGGAGWUGGGKUCUGUGCAACUCGACCCCAUGAAGUCGGAGUUGCUAGUAAUCGCAGAUCAGCAUUGCUGCGGUGAAUACGUUCCCGGGCCUUGUACACACCGCCCGUCACGUCACGAAAGUCGGUAACACCCGAAGCCGGUGGCCCAACCCCUUGUGGGAGGGAGCUGUCGAAGGUGGGACUGGCGAUUGGGA
rnacentral:rRNA from 1 species